GGUAUCAGAGCCUAGUGGUUUGAGCGUUGGACUCUGACUCUGAAGACCAAGGUUCCAUUCCCAUUGAAACCC